rnacentral:lncRNA from 1 species
UUUUUUUUUUUUUUUUUUUCAGGAGGGCCAGUGUCCUAGCCUGAGGAGACGCCUGGUGGACACAGACUGCAGGGAGAGGGUUGAGAGUUGGCCUAGUGAAUCAGAGGGGUGACUGAGGGCCCAGAAGUUGCCACAUGAGCUCUGAUCAUCAUUCAUGGGUGCUGUCUGCCCAUCACCUGCAGGUACCCACCUUAACCAGAGCUUGGCUUGUGGCCUGCAACUUGGUGACAGGCCUUUGGCUGGGCAAAGUUUGGGCUGGUGCUUCAUAGUGGCAGGAGCAAUUAUAGCAGAGCAACCCAGGAUGGGUGGUCAUUGAAAAAUGGGUGUGAAGUCACUGAAAAAUCAGACCGAGUUUCAAGUUAUGCUCACAGUUGCUGAAAAAGCAAAAAUACGCCCUUAGAGCAGCAGAGCAGCAUGCGGCGGUCCACUUCCUCCUCCUGUGCAGAGCUUGCAGGCCCCUUCUAGCAUCUGUGCAUGGUGCGCAUGUGUCUGUGACAACAGAAAGGGCUGGUUUCUCUCACACAUUUCCCUGACGAUGGCAGGGGGGCUGCAGCAGUCACAGAAACUUCUGGAGAGACGUGUUUCUGUACAGUCAGGUGAAUUUGUUGGCAGGACAGCUCGGUGACGAUAUAAGAAGUACCGUUUCACUUUUUUUGUCAGAUGAACUUCCUUCUGCUAGUUUAGAAAAGCUUCACUCCAGAGAGGGCCACCUGGUAGAAGCUGUAUUACAGAAACUUUUAAUCCCUUUUCUAUGUCAGGGGAUGCUGAGAUAAACUGUCUAGAACAACAAGGAGAUGCUUCUGACUGUCACACCCAGGCCACUUCCGGCAGAGUGGUACAGAGCUGCCAGGGCGUGGCCAGCUGCUUUGCAUCUGCAUUCCUGUUUCAUGACCUUUUGUGUUGUGGGCCAACAGGAGUGCCACGUAGUGGGGGCUGGAGAUUUGGCCCGGCAGGAGGUGGGUACGUAGCUGUCUUCUCUGCAGAAUACCUGCACUGCUCCAUCUGACCAGCAGUGGCAACAGCCACACCCAGUUCUGCAUCUAGCUCCUGCCCAGACCUUUGGCUGCCAGAAUCUAGAACCAUGGCUGACCAAAGCGAGACUUCCGAGUAAGGUUAGUUCACAGGCAUCCUGCUGAAUUAGGAGACAGGAACUAAUCCGAAGUACACGGGGCUAAACUUCCCUCGAGGACAUUUCCUGAGCUGCAAGAUGGGAAGGGACAGCACUGAAGCUGGUGAGCUGGUGCAACUGCACACACCUUUUCUCUGUUUUUCAGUACUCACAGGUCAUCCUGGGGAGAUCUCUCAUGGGCCAUGGGCAGCCCAUGCCUGGAUUUUUUGGUGAAUGAGUCCAAAAAGCAGUGACCAGGUGGGGCUGAGGGCCUCCCCUUGCCUGCGCCUUUUUAUCUCUGAGUGACUGAGGGCUGCCAAGGCCAGACAAUGCACAUGUGUCCUGCAUCCUCCCCUCGCCUGGGGCAGCAGCAGCUGGGCUUGGGGUGAGUAGGCUGGCUUGAGGAAGGGGAUGCCCACAAGCAGGGCUCAUUUCCUGGGUCAGGGCCUGUCAGACUCAAAGUCAGCCCUCUAGCAUUCUGUUUAAAAAAUGAUGACGCAGUUCAGUGAGAAAGAAAGCUCAGGAUAAAAUGUGUUUUCUGGCGGGGAAAUACUCACGUGUUCUAAGCCAGGAACAGAGACUCUCAAGAGAGGCAUUCUCUGGCAUUCUCUGCCUUGGAUAAAUCAUGGAUUAAACAUGAGCAUCCUUAGAAUAAUUUUAUUUUUGUAUUUCACUUUACACUGUAAUGCAAACAGCUUUUAUGUUUUCUUUGACAAAGAAUCAUAAUUGAGUCACUUUCGGUCUUUUAGCUAGAAGCAUUUCACCCUAAAUGAAAAGUUAAUGCAUUUUUUACAAGGAUUAACAUGCUAACUACAACUUGCCCUUUCAGCAGAUGACAAUAGGGGUUCUGAAAAGUUUGGACAAAGUCUUUUUCUUUUUGCAUACAAAUAAAGCAGCAGAUCAUUUCUCUGAAGGUUGUUGCAGAGUUCCUGUACCAGCUUACAAAAUGAUGCUGUUUAAGUAGGCCUUGGGUGGGCAGCAGAAUUCUGCACGUGACGAGUGGCCUGCAGCUUAAAAAGCAAAUUUCAUCUGAUUCCAGUACCGUGAUUUUAAGGAAAUGGUAAAACUCAAAGUGCUGGUAAUGCCAUCAAGGCUCAACACACCAUUUCCUCAGCAGCUAAAGACAAAAAUAAUUAUUUUGGUGAGGGGAUAGAAGUCCUUUCGCUUUGCAGUGACACCCACUUUUUCUUGGCUUGGGAGUAAUGAGAUUGGGGUGUGAGGGGACAUUAAAAACUCAUUUAAGGCAAACUGAAAUCUCCUUCGUCAGCAUUCUUCCUGCUGGUGUAGCCAGAGCAGAACUCCGAGGCUUGCAGGCUGGGCUGUCUCCUUGCUGCCUGGCCUGGGUGUUUAUUUGGGCAACGCAAGCUGACGUCGUGAGGUGUUGCCGAUGCCCAGGCCAGCUAGCAGGGAGCCCUCCCAGGGUUGGUAGAAACCUAUGUGUAUAUGUAUUCUCAAAUUUAAAUAGAUUGUACAUAGUGAAAUGUAAAUGACAUGUAAAACAGCAAUCUCUAUUUUUCUUACUAUAUAGCAGUAUAUAUUUGUUAAACGUGCUUGUAUACUCUUCAUUAACCAUUUUAAUAUUUUGUACAGAUAAGUUGAUUAAAUAUUUGAUUCAUAAAACCGCUCAUGACUGGUCUCUAAAGGAAAACAUUUUCAGCUUUUGUUACUCAGCCUUUCUGUGUUACUAUAGUCCUCAACUCAUUAAUAGAAUAGCGGCCAGCUAUUGAGGCAUUAGGACUGACUGCAUUUUAACAUAGCAGCGGGAGUGACAUAGCAGGCCUGGCUCUACUUGCCUUUGUGCCGAUCAUUCCCUGCGAUCAUUCUCCUGUGUUGUCAGAUCAGGUGUAAGGCUGGGGCCCUCUGGCAUGGGGGGCCGCACCCUGGGUCUUGGUGACUGGUACGAAACUGCAUAGGAUGCUGCUGCACACAGCCUCACAUGGCAUGAAGUCACUGCACAGCAAGGUAAAAAACAUCAAGCCUGGGUUCAGGAAGGGAGGCCAAAAUGCAGUGGAAAACAUUUUCUCUUUGGGAAGUGAGCAUGAUAAUGUGUAGAGUGAGUGCUCUCAUUCCAAAUGCAGUUUGAGUGGACAGGUUUUCUGUGUUUAUACAUCUCAGGCUGCUGCGGGACCUGUCUCACUCCAGAAAGCAUGAGCCCUCCCCUCCUGGAGGCUGCACAGUUAAGUCUCUGAAAUCCCAAGGCAUAAAGUCCCUUGGAAGCCGCUUCCUCUGCAAGGCCCAUUACAUACUUCACAGAACCCAAUAAGGUCCUACAGCAAAUCUGACAGGGCCUUUUUUGCCCAGUACUCUUCGAGACAAGUACAAAAGCCUGUGCUCGGUGACACCACGAAGGAUGCAGCAGGACAGGAUCAACCACACAGCAUCUGUUGCUAUCCCAGCUCUUGCACCUGACUUUUGCCUACAGAUGAAGGAGAAAUCUAUUUAAUGUGUUCCUUAAAUAUUUCUGGGAGAAGACUAACGACAGAGCAGCAACUGUAGGAAGUUGACAAGGACUUAGCCUUAUUAGUGACUUGUUACCAGGAUUACCUCUUUUGGGAUAUGGAGCCUGCUGGAGUGACCCACCUUUUCGUCAGUGAUGGCAGCCCAUGUUCAUGGUGAAUCCAAUAGGCCACAGUUUGUUAAUGCAGGUUCCUAUGGUCAUGUGACUUUCUGGUGAAAGAUCAAGAAAGCCUGCUUUCUUUUCACUACUCCAUUUCAUAUUACUAAAUAAAGGAGUCUUUUUCUUUGGAAGAAAACUUGUGUUCCCCUUUCAACUAACUCAUUUGGCAGGUAAAAUAAAUGUGUAAGUUCUACGACCGUGUCAUUGAAAACUGGAAGGUCUUGUCAUGCUUUGUUUAUAAGCAUCUUUUUUCAUUUUCUUAUUUUUCAGUCUCCAUUUGACCUACCACAGCAUUCUGUGGUUAGAGUACACAUUCAGUAGAGUAGUAGUCACAGAGAGAAAGGAAAGUCGGGGAUGGCAUUUAAAAUUUUAUCUAAUUUCCCAGACACUGAUAAGAGCACAUCUAAAAGGCCUGUCCAUGACUAAUGGUAAAGGCGGCUAAGACUGACUUCUCCACUCCUUCCCUGGUCCUGUCAGGUCCUGGAUCUGCCUCUGAUGCCUGCUCAUUUCCAAGCAGGCCAAGGCAGAGAUGCCUCCAACUGCUGUUCCAUUGAUGGUGGUGCCCAACGUGGUCAUGGAUGCAUGUGUUCUUGUGCCCUAGGAACCCUGUGACUAUCUGCUCAGAAGGGACAAUGAUCUGGAGAGAAACUUGUCCACUGUGAUGUGCCACCAGCAUGCAGCCCUGUAGGCUGUGGGUGUUUGCCGAGUCCUAAUCACAUGCAGGUGCACAGCCCUUCGCAGUGGCCAGUAGUAGGAGGAAGCCCAGAUGUUCUGCAGAGCCUGAGCUGGGUGGAUUUGCAGAGGCGGGAUUCUAGUCCCUCUGUGAGGGAGGGAGACCCUGCAGGUGCACCGCGCCCCCUGACUGUAAUGGGCGCCCAGUCACAGGGUCACAUUCUCAUCCCAGGGAAGAGGAAUUUUCCCAUAGACUUACGCAGCAAGGAAAUCUAUCACUGUGUGGGGAGGUCAGCACAGGCCCCUUUGCCAGAAUGUUUGAGGAAUGCAACACAAAAUGAAAAUGCUCGAUUAUCCCAGAGCACAGUCAUGUGUAUUGUUGCUGUAAUUCCCAUUUGGGGUGCUGCGCGGGGUUAGUGCUCAACAAAUAAUAAACUACAUGUUUGGUAGUUGCUAAUACCCAAACUCCAGAGGUUUUCUAAUUGUAGAAGAAUGGAAGUAACAGUUGCAGCCGUAUCAGACAAGAUGAAUGGGACACAAGGGAUAGUGGCCUUGCUUC